rnacentral:rRNA from 1 species
GACGAACGCUGGCGGCGCGCUUAACACAUGCAAGUCGAACGGAAAGGCCUGCUUUCCCUUGUGGAUUGCGGGUACUCGAGUGGCUAACGGGUGAGUAACACGUGAGUAAUCUGCCCCCAACUUGGGUAUAAGCCUGGGAAACUGGGUCUAAUUCCCGAUAGGACUGCAGGGUGGUGCCUGUGGUGGAAAACGAUUUUCUAGUGGUUGGGGAUGAGCUCGCGGCCUAUCAGCUUGUUGGUGGGGUAAUGGCCUACCAAGGCGGCGACGGGUAGCCGGCCUGGGAGGGUGGACGGCCACAUUGGGACUGAGACACGGCCCAGACGCCUACGGGAGGCAGCAGUGGGGAAUAUUGCACAAUGGGCGGAAGCCUGAUGCAGCGACGCAGCGUGGGGGAUGACGGCAUUCGGGUUGUAAACUACUUUCGACCGAGAGGAAGCCACCUGGUUGGAAGGGUGGUGACGGUAGUGGUAGAAGAAGCACCGGCUAACUACGUG